CAGAACCUCCUAAAAAAUCAGAUUUUUAAUGCAUGCAUACUUCCCACAUUGACUUACGGCUCCCACACAUGGGCUUUAAUAAAAAAAAUUAUGAAAAAAAUUGAGACAACCCAUAACUCAUUGGAAAGGUCCAUGCUAAAAUUACAGAAAAUAUCUAUAACAAAAUAAGAAUAAAAACAAUGACUUGCCUAAUCAUUAUGUAAAACAAUAAUAACUCGGAUAUACUCGUAGCGUAAUUUUUCUGGACAUUAAUUGGCAUAACGUCAGUACUUACCACUUCGGCAUUUACAAAAAUGCCAAAUAAAUAUUUUCCACUUGCACAUAGGUAGGUAGGGUGGAGGAGGUCAAAAAGAGGUAUUAUUUCACCUUGAAGGGGGACAAAAAACUCGUCCGGGGAUGGAUAGGUUGGUAUCUUGGAUGCUGAAAAUACAAGAUUUUCUGUCGGGCUCCUGCAAAAUCAAAGGUUAUGCUACCCUAAACGCAAUUUUUGCCUAUUUUUGCCCAUUUUUUGAGCUUUUUCCGCCUAAGUUCCUGAUGUAUGUGUGGGUGGGAGAACUAUUUUUUCUCACAUAACCCGUUACACCACAUCUUUACCUUACUUUUCCAAAAUCACCUCAUUUACAAAAUUCAACCAGUACGUUUCGUUGUAAUUAAUUUUCAAAGUUGCGUAUAGGUACAUACGACUUUUCGUCAUUGGCACGACAGAAAAAGGUGAUUUGAACCAUAGGACAUUCGAACGACAAAAUAGGGUAUUUCACUGACAAUUUUUUAACGACGACGGUUCAGCAAGACAAUUUAGGUAUACUACGAAUGACAAUUCGAUUUUAUAUUAUAAUGACAAAAGAAAUGUAAUCCACAUCCAAGUUUUGCUUUUUUGGUCAAAACCACCAAAAAGAUCUUGCUUUUCAUCGAAACUAGGCAUUAAAUAUUCUCUUUUUUUUGCCAAUACUGUCAAAAAAUCUUACUUACUUUUCAUUAACUCGCAGCUGUUAUCGAAAAGUAACGUUUCAGUCCUCUUAAACGCACCGAAAAAUACUUCUCGCGUUGCCAAUAAAAGAGCUGCUUUCGUGCGUCAACGCAGGAGUGGGAAAACGCACUUUCAUGAUAUCAGUAAUGAAAAAAUUUUUAUUGUUCCAACAAUUGCAAAAAAAUCCUUCUUGUGCUGUAGAUGAACUGUUUUUUUUUUUUGUUGUUGUGUUUUUUUAUGUGUUAUUUAUCAAUCUUUGUAUGUGUAAUUCAUAUUUUUUAUGACGUCCAUUAUUUCAUUUCUUUGGCGUGCACAAUUGGUCGUUAUAAUGUAUAAGGGCAUUAAAUUAUUUUGUCGGGCAAUAUCUUAUAUACCCUACUUGUGUAUCGUCAUUCUUUUUUUUCGUCGUGAAAUGAUUCUUUUCCCGUGCAACAUCUUUUCUUAUCGUUAGAAUGCCAUUUUUUCGACGUGAAAAUGCCUAUUUGUAUUUCUGUCAUGUCGAUAAAUCACCCCAAAAGUCAAAUGUGUACCAACUUGGCUAUUUUUUUUUCAAAAAUGGCCCUGUGACGUAUCAAAAUGGGUUAAAAUUUUGCCCUGAACUCAAAAAUAUCAACAGUUUUCGUGUUAUCUCCCAUCCCACGUACUAACCCUCAAAAAAACUGAAAAAUUUUUGAUCUAGAGUAAAUAUUGCUUCAUACAUAUAAAUAGAUGUCUUCUAUUUAGCUCCUUUCUGUGGCCUUAUCAAAAUCAUUCAUUCAUGAAUUUUGUAUUCUCUUGAUGAAAUUCAAAGUGGAUGAACAAUUGAGAGGAAGGGGGAGAAUUGGUGAAAUAAAAAAUCGCUAUAAUCAGUGAAGUGGUAAACAGCUAAAUUUCAGGAGAAAACUGCAUCAUUUUGAUGAAAGAAGCGUGAAUUUUGGUAUGAUGCAUUUUAGGCACAAAAUGAAGUUUUUAAGACCGGGAGCCACUCGAGCUUACCCCUCUUUCGAAGGGGGUGGAGCGUAUAAUUUUGACUUUCAUCAAAUGCAAAUUUUCUCCUGAAAUUUAGCUGUUUACCUCUUCACUAGUAUAGAGAUUUUUCAUUCCACCCAUAAUUCUCUCCCUUCUUCGCAAUUGGUCACCCUCUUUGAAUUUCAUCAAAAGAGAAUACGAAAAUUGUGAAUAAAUGAUUUUGGUAAGGCCGCAGAAAGUAGCUAAAGUGAAGCAAUCUAUUUACACAUGAAGCAAUAUUUACUUUAAAUCAAAAAAUUUUCAGGUUUCGGGGGGUCAGUACGCGGGAAGGGGGGUAAACACGAAAACUGUUGAUAUUUUUGAGUUCAGCGCGAAAUUUCAACUCAUUUUGAUAGGUCACACGGCCACUUUUGAAAAAAAAACUGCCAAGUUGGAAUUUGAUGAAAAGUCGUACUCAUGCUACUUUGAAAAAAUGAAAAUUAUCAAUUACGAGUACGAUGAAAUGUGCCGGUCGAAUUUCGUGAAUGUGGUGAUUUUAGAAAGGCAAAGUUGCGGUGUAACGAGAUAUAAGAGAAGAAAUUGUUCCCUGUGCAUACAUCAGGAUCUAGGGCGGAAAAAGGUCAAAAAAAAAGGGCAAAAAUACGCAAAAAUUGUGAUUAGGGUUGCAUAACUUUUGAUUGUGCAGGAGGUCGAUAGGAAAUUUUGUUUUUUUUUUAGCAUUGUUAAAUAGAUAUAUAGAGGCGUUGCCAAUGAUGGGAGGAUAAGAAUAUUUCCCUAGUAGGUCAGGAUGAAUCUAACUCCCUAAGAGAUGUAAUAUAUCACCUUUUAAAAUAGUACUUACCCGCUGCUAGCUCAGCUCUUACAACACCAAUAUGUAUAAAUUUAAACAGAUUUAGUCGAGUUUACCUUGUAUUAAUUCGAACUGCACGCGAAAUAAGAACACACGAUAAACACGAACAGUGUAUUAUAAUUUAAGUAAUAAAUUACAACACGAUACUUAAGUCUAAAAUAUAUAAAAAACUCUACGCGUAUAACCAAUAUAUAUUCCACCGAAUAGUGGCGUAAGUAGGAUCGCUUUUACCCACCUACGUGUAACUAUCAAAUUGCCCGCGUUGGGUAGCGAAUUUAGAAGACUUAAGUUUAAACGCGAAUACUCUCCCUUAAACACGAACGUUAAGGCAGAGGACCUGGGACUCAAGCACAACUCUUACGUAGGAGUGAGUGGCCUUAUUACUUUUCCGCGGUCAGACCUACCAGACGAAGCGCGAAUCGACAAGUGAAGAUCAAUUCCAUCUCAACUUGGCUUCUAGCCUCGAGUCGAGAAGGAAUUGAGCUUUACGAACUUGUGAGCUUUUCACAUCUGCCCUUAAUGGAACGAUGUGAAAACACCUCUUGGGUGGUUCCCACGUACUUAACACCUUACCUAAGUGCAUCGAGUAUAUGCUUUCAUCUACGUAAAGUACUGUAGAAUCGAACUAUUGAUUGGAUUCUCCAGUACUUCCUUUAGAUGAAAGAUUUAUAAACCCACUGAGAGAGAUACGAUGAAUAUCCCUGUCUAGCCAGUGAAGGCAUAUUGUCCCCUUACAUUUGCCCCUAACGUGGGUUUACUUCUAAAGUAUCCCCUGAGGAAAUGUAGAGGAAAGCACGGAAAUUUUGAAAAAAGGUGACAUUGUGCUUCACUGGAUGUGACCCUAUUGCCCCCCGUACUUUGCUUGAGUGAUGCGGGGAAUAGUAAUCCCAAAAUAAAUUUUGAAACUCUUUGGUUUUUAUUAUAAUUCCAAAAGUGAGGUGGAUUUUGAGUGUGCUGGUGAGUUGACUCUUACUGAUAAAGAGUAACUACAAUUGACCAUCAAUAUUUGACCGAAGUCAAGAUAUCAAUAAAUCAAUCCAGAAGCUACCUUUGAUCUGGUCACUCCACAGCAGGGUCAUGGCCGAAAUGGUAAGUAUUUAAGUACGAUUUAAUCUUUGAGGGGGAGGGUUAAUCUAAAAGGUACCCUUCCUCAAUUUUAUGAUUUCAGGAGAAGAUGAAAAAAGCUCAAGAAGUUCGUGGUUGUUUGGCUUUGUUGUCUUUGGAUAGUCUGACCAAGAAUUUUUGAAGAAAAAAUUGCUGGUGUAUUUUGGUCAACGACGAUGGCAAGAGAAUUACUUUGUUUAUCAAAAACUAAAGAUAAGUACAAAAACAUAUUUACAUUUUUAUUAAAUAAUGUAAAAUUUAAGAGCAUUUUUGUUUCUUAGGAUUAAUCAGUCUAAUUUAAACGCAUGAUCGAUUUAAAAUAUCUGUACAUUUUUUAUUUCUAAAAAAAAAUUUUAAAGUUAUGAAAUAAAUUAAAUAAAAAAUGUUGUUUUUGUUUAGGACCAGUUCAGAGAAAGAUGGGUGAAACUUAAAAUAGGAUUGAGCCAAAGUUGAACCAGUCUGUUGGGAUAUUUUUCGUAUUUACAAUAAGUAAGAAGACAAAGAAGAUUUCCUUAACUAAUAAUGCACAGAUCCUUUUUCUUGGCUCAUGGACUUCUUUUCCAGGUUGUAUUUUCUUUUAGAAAAUAAUUUUAGAUAGAAAUUAAAAAUAAAAUUUGAGUAAACUUAUGCCAUUUUUGUUCCACAGGAAGACAAAGAUAGCUAGAUUUUUGAAAGGAAUGUUAUCCGUCUACAGUCUGAGUCAACAUGGCCUUCUGUGCCCUGAAUGUGAUAUCUUUGUUAAAAAAGAAUUUUAAAAAAAGUAAAAUUAAAAUUUUUGUAAAUUUUUAGAAAAAAUUUUUUGAAUUUGAAUUUUUUGAUUCUGUAAACGUAUUUUACGUUAAUAUAAGGUUGUAAAA